GCGCGCGACGUCACCGUAGCCUGCCGUCUCCGUCGCAGCUCGCCGACGACUCCGACCGCGCGGCUCCGCCCCGCUCCUCUCCGACUGCCGCGGAGCUCGCCGACGCCAAGGAUUCGUCAUCUCCUUCUCCCUUGGGAGGUCUUGGAAUCCUUUCCCCGGGAGAAGCGGGGAGCGCGCGGAUCAUGGGGACUUCGGCGGCCCAGGAGUCGGAUCUCUGGAAGCGAAUCGAUGACGCCGAGUGCUAUCUGGUCAGCGGAUCCUUUGAUCAUGCGGUUUUGGUGGCAUUAUCUGUAUCUGAUAAAAUUCGAGCAGAAGCUUUCGGACAAGUAUAUGAUGAUGAUGAGCUUUUGGAAAUGCUUGAAUUAGCUGGGAUUGUACUCGUUCAGGCACUUAAAGAGCUCAGAAGGACACAUGAGAUGUUUAUUCAGCUUAAAGCUAUGUAUGGUUCAGUAGCAUCAGUACCUGUGAAAAUCUUCCUGACAGGGGCUACCAUGCUAAUGGCAGAAGGAUCUGGGCCUGACCUUCGAUCAAUCUUUGAGGAGUACCUUGCUAAAUGGAGAUAUACAGAUGAUCAACUUUAUGUAUUAAAUGGAGAACAGGAAAGAUCCUCAGAUGGUCUUAUUGUUAAAUUAACUAUGACAACUGAGGAGUAUUUGGAGGUGGCAGAAUUGUAUACGGUUACAUUCCUUACUAUUGCCUCCCAUGAGCCUGAAACUGCCAUCUCAUGGGUAGAAAAAGCAGAAUUGAUUGAGCAAGAUCGACAGGAGCUACUAAGAAAACUUAAUGCAUUACAAGCAGCAGCAAAUAAAAAGUCAUCUGCUACUACAGGAGCAAAACAAUCAGCAGAAAGGAAUCUUCCUGCCUCUGUGAAUGGCCCAACACCGUCAACACAUGAGGAUGCUCCUACAAGCACCACAUGUGCACCCAACGGGAAAACACAUGGCUUACCAAAGUCCAUUGAGCCUUCCCUUCAACAUGUCACAAAUAAAUUUGAUCCCCUGUUUUGGUGGUUUCAUUCCAUCCGCAUAAAGCUUGGUAAAGUGCAUAUUGUUCUACCAAGUGGUAAGCUAAUGCUUCUAUUCUCACUGCUGUUCUCCACAGUCUACAUUCUCCGGAGGAAAAGUGCUGGCUUGAAGAGGGCUGUAUUCCAACAUGCUUCAUCCCUGCGACGAGCGUUCCUCGAUGCCCUGCAACUUGCAUUCUCUGUCCAGAUGAACCCGCUGGCUGCUGUUCAACAAGUGCCACAAGCUCCUCGAGGAAGCUGGUGAUACAAUGUACUUAAUCAGUCCCAACAUGUAACUAGUGACAUCAAGAAUUCAAAUUUGACGUAUGUGAUACCAGUCGCUUUUUGUGCUACUCAAAAGUGUACGGCAGUAUAAAGUCGGCUUUCAGUCAAGUUGCAGCUAUAGCAAGUGAGUCCAUGCUUGCCAUUUCGCUUUUUCUCUGUCUCUCUCUCUGAUACUAGUUCAGAAUUUUUUGGCUCCAUAGAUCCAAAUCGAUCUGUCAGGGAGACAGUAGGUUAUUCUAGGGUAAAACAAUUUUUUUACCGCAUAAAACAGGAAUUAAAGCUGUUUUA